AGGAGACCUGCAAAACAUGCACUGUGUGGGGUCCUGAGGACCGAGUUUGAGAACCUGUGACUUAGACAGUACUUGCACAAAGAGGACAGCGUGAAACAAUGGCUCAAUAUAGUAUCCUGUUACAGCUCUUUUACCAGACACGCCCAUGAUUUUAUGUGAACAGAGAGGCCAGACUUGACCAUCUAAGACAGAAGGGCUGACAUCAGAGUCUGUCCGCGUAAGAAAUCCCCUCCUCUGGUAUAGGGAAGUACUCUGCAGGAAUACCAAGUGCAGCAAAAAGUUUUAUCAGUAUGGAGGAAGUGGAUCAUAACCUUACCAGAGAAAAAUUUAGGAUCCGCAUUCAUUAGGAAUCACAUCCGUUAUUGAAAUUGAUAAUUAAUAGGGCAAAAUGCAAGCCAAGGGACUAAUGAAACGCAAAUGUCACCAUGGGAAACCUAUAGUUGUCACCCUAAAGAUGGCCGGCAGUUGGAACACAACCGGAAGUUGAUAACUGAAUACACAUCACUUCCGGCUGCCGAUCUCCGGAAGUUAGGUGGUAUGGAGAUCCGGAAUAGGAGUAUAAAUUCCGCACUAUGCAGAGACAUGCGAUCCAUUCCCGAGGAAGAAUUAUUCCGAAACGCGUUGCACAGACAUCAUGCCUGACCUUGGAUGACCCCAGCACGGAAAACCCAGAUCUGGUACUUUUGAACUUUGUGAGGAGUGUGCUGCAUACAUCCUAUGGUCUGUCAUUUAUUCAUGUUUAUGCUAUUUUAUGUGGAACCAUGUCAGUGAAAUACAUUUUGUAUGUGUAUUA